rnacentral:rRNA from 1 species
GACGAACGCUGGCGGCGUGCUUAACACAUGCAAGUCGAACGGAAAGGCCCUGCUUUUGUGGGGUGCUCGAGUGGCGAACGGGUGAGUAACACGUGAGUAACCUGCCCUUGACUUUGGGAUAACUUCAGGAAACUGGGGCUAAUACCGGAUAGGAGCUCCUGCUGCAUGGUGGGGGUUGGAAAGUUUCGGCGGUUGGGGAUGGACUCGCGGCUUAUCGGCUUGUUGGUGGGGUAGUGGCUUACCAAGGCUUUGACGGGUAGCCGGCCUGAGAGGGUGACCGGGCACAUUGGGACUGAGAUACGGCCCAGACUCCUACGGGAGGCAGAGGUGGGGAAUAUUGCACAAUGGGCGGAAGCCUGAUGCAGAAACGCCGCGUGCGGGAUGACGGCCUUCGGGUUGUAAACCGCUUUCGCCUGUGACGAAGCGUGAGUGACGGUAAUGGGUAAAGAAGCACCGGCUAACUACGUG